rnacentral:rRNA from 1 species
UGGGGAAUAUUGGACAAUGGGCGAAAGCCUGAUCCAGCCAUGCCGCGUGUGUGAAGAAGGCCUUUUGGUUGUAAAGCACUUUAAGCGAGGAGGAGGCUACUUAGAUUAAUACUCUAGGAUAGUGGACGUUACUCGCAGAAUAAGCACCGGCUAACUCUGUGCCAGCAGCCGCGGUAAUACAGAGGGUGCGAGCGUUAAUCGGAUUUACUGGGCGUAAAGCGUGCGUAGGCGGCUUUUUAAGUCGGAUGUGAAAUCCCUGAGCUUAACUUAGGAAUUGCAUUCGAUACUGGGAAGCUAGAGUAUGGGAGAGGAUGGUAGAAUUCCAGGUGUAGCGGUGAAAUGCGUAGAGAUCUGGAGGAAGACCGAUGGCGAAGGCAGCCAUCUGGCCUAAUACUGACGCUGAGGUACGAAAGCAUGGGGAGCAAACAGG